GAUAAAACCUAACCCCUUUUAGUUUACGCGAAUUAGGUUUUCCUCAGUCCCUCUCUUCUCUCUCACUCUCCUUCUAUUCUCUCAGAUGCAGAUCUCGCCGCCAUCGCACAGCUCAAGUGACUCCCCAAGACCUCGCCAGAUUUGGUUUAUCUAGAUGAGAUCAAAGAACAGGCAGGCCCAAAAGUUGGUGAGUCUCUCUAUCUCUCUCCCACAAAUGUACACAUAAGUGGAGCAUUAUGAUGAGGAAGUUGGUUAGACUUUUUACAAGACUAUAUAUUUAGCUCGAAGGCUUCUGUUUUAUCAUGAAUUAGGUUUUGUUUUAAAGUAUUGGAAACUUGUUAUUAUAUCAAGCUAAAUUUCUGGAAACGCCAUAUAUCCAUUUUUUCACCUUUACAUCAUGCUCAAUAGAUGCUUUCAAUGUGUUUUCAUCGCUUAAUCCCAACAAGUGGAUUGAAUUUAAGUUGCAAGAUACUGCAAGGGUUAGCCACAACACUCAAUUGUUCAGGUAUAUCCUCUGGACUCUCUCCAGAUUCCUUAAAUAUGUUAAACUAUUAUCUGAAAGAAAUUAAUUUAGAUCAGAAGAAUCACAGCAAGAACAAAUUUUUGUAGUUUCAAAUAAAUCUGCAAUAAUAUGAAGAUGUCCUUUUUAUUUAUUUAUGUUUCCUAUAGGUUUUUAGACAUGGAAAUUGAUUUCUUUUAGUUGUCUGUAAAAAUUGGCAGAUUUACUGGUACUUGGCUUUAGCUUGUUCAGAUGGUGGGUUGUUUGGUUUUUAAAAGAUCUGGUACUUGGCUUUAGCUUGUUCAGAUGGUGGAUGGUGUUUUAUGCAGAUCUUUGAGGAGAAGAAGCA